rnacentral:RNase_P_RNA from 1 species
GAAGUCAGCCAGACAGUCGCUCUUCCUGGUGGGGUAACCCGCAAAGGGAGGGAGGAAAGUCCGGGCUCCACAGGGUAAGGUGCCAGGUAACGCCUGGGCGGCGCGAGCCGACGGAAAGUGCAGCAGAAAGUAUACCGCCUAAGCCAGCAUGCUGGCCGGUAAGGGUGAAAUGGUGCGGUAAGAGCGCACCGCGCGACUGGUAACAGUUCGUGGCGAUGGAAAACCCCACCUGGAGCAAGACCAAAUAGGUAUCC